rnacentral:rRNA from 1 species
UUAGAAUGUUAAUUUUUAUGCUUGAGUAGUACUAGUUAUGUUCUUGAAACUUAAAGAAUUUGGCGGUAUCUUAUUCCGUUCAGAGGAAUCUGUCUCGUUAUCGAUAGUCCGCGUUGGACCUUACUUAGUUGCUAUGGUUUGUAUACCGCCGUUUAUUGAUUAUACUUUUAGGGUUUUUAAUUUUCUGGUUUCUUUGUUUUGAUUUAUUUCAGGGCAAGGUGCAGCUUGUUUCUAAGUGUUAUUGAUGGAUUACAUUGUUUUUUGUUGUUUGGAUUGCUGGUUGAAAUUAUUGGUAUGAAAUUGGAUUUGAUUGUAAUGUCUUGAAGAUUGUUUUCGUGAUAUUUGGUUCUAAGAUAUGUACACAUCGCCCGUC